AUUGAACGCUGGCGGCAGGCCUAACACAUGCAAGUCGAGCGAGCGGCGGACGGGUGAGUAAUGUAUGGGGACUGCCCGAUAGCGGGGGACAACUACUGGAAACGGUGGCUAAUACCGCAUACUAUCGGAUAACCCAUAUGGGAUUAGCUAGUAGGUGGGGGAAAGGCUCACCUAGGCGACGAUGUCUACCUGGUCUGAGAGGAUGAUCAGCAACACUUGGAAUGAAACACGGCCCAGGCUCCAGCGGACGCAGAAGUAGAAAAGUUUGCACAAUGGACGCAAGCCUGAUGCGGCCAUACCGUGUGUAUGAGGAAGGCCUUAGGGUUGUAAAGGACUUUCAGCAGGGAGGCGUUCCCCGCAGAAGAAGCGCCGGCUAACUCCGUGCCAGCCGCCGCGGUAAUUC
rnacentral:rRNA from 1 species